rnacentral:rRNA from 1 species
GACGUAGGGCGCAAGCGUUGUCCGGAUUUAUUGGGCGUAAAGAGCUCGUAGGCGGUUUGUCGCGUCUGCCGUGAAAGUCCGGGGCUCAACUCCGGAUCUGCAGUGGGUACGGGCAGACUAGAGUGCGGUAGGGGAGAUUGGAAUUCCUGGUGUAGCGGUGGAAUGCGCAGAUAUCAGGAGGAACACCGAUGGCGAAGGCAGAUCUCUGGGCCGUAACUGACGCUGAGGAGCGAAAGCGUGGGGAGCGAACAGG